GACGAACGCUGGCGGCGUGCUUAACACAUGCAAGUCGAACGGAAAGGCCCUGCUUUUGUGGGGUGCUCGAGUGGCGAACGGGUGAGUAACACGUGAGUAACCUUCCCUUGACUUUGGGAUAACUUCAGGAAACUGGGGCUAAUACCGGAUAGGAGCUCCUGCUGCAUGGUGGGGGUUGGAAAGUUUCGGCGGUUGGGGAUGGACGCGCGGCUUAUCAGCUUGUUGGUGGGGUAGUGGCUUACCAAGGCUGUGACGGGUAGCCGGCCUGAGAGGGUGACCGGCCACAAUGGGACUGAGAGACGGACCAGACUCCUACGGGAGGCAGCAGUGGGGAAUAUUGCACAAUGGGCGGAAGCCUGAUGCAGCAACGCCGCGUGCGGGAUGACGGCCUUCGGGUUGUAAACCGCUUUCGCCUGUGACGAAGCGUGAGUGACGGUAAUGGGUAAAGAAGCACCGGCUAACUACGUG
rnacentral:rRNA from 1 species